GAUGAACGCUGGCGGCAUGCCUAAUACAUGCAAGUCGAACGAGAGGAAGGAAAGCUUGCUUUCCUGAAUCUAGUGGCGAACGGGUGAGUAACACGUAGGUAACCUGCCCAUGUGCCCGGGAUAACUUCUGGAAACGGAUGCUAAAACCGGAUAGGUAGCAGACAAGCAUUUGACUGCUAUUAAAGUGGCCUUGGCCAUGAACAUGGAUGGACCUGCGGUGCAUUAGCUAGUUGGUGAGGUAACGGCCCACCAAGGCGACGAUGCAUAGCCGGCCUGAGAGGGCGGACGGCCACAUUGGGACUGAGACACGGCCCAAACUCCUACGGGAGGCAGCAGUAGGGAAUUUUCGUCAAUGGGGGGAACCCUGAACGAGCAAUGCCGCGUGAGUGAGGAAGGUCUUCGGAUCGUAAAGCUCUGUUGUAAGAGAAAAACGGCACUCAUAGGGAAUGAUGAGUGAGUGAUGGUAUCUUACCAGAAAGUCACGGCUAACUACGUGCCAGCCGCCGCGGUAA
rnacentral:rRNA from 1 species